rnacentral:rRNA from 1 species
GACGAACGCUGGCGGCGUGCCUAAUACAUGCAAGUUGAGCGAUGAAGCUUGGUGCUUGCACCAAUUUGAAGAGCAGCGAACGGGUGAGUAACGCGUGGGGAAUCUGCCUUUGAGCGGGGGACAACAUUUGGAAACGAAUGCUAAUACCGCAUAAUAACUUUAAACAUAAGUUUUAAGUUUGAAAGAUGCAAUUGCAUCACUCAAAGAUGAUCCCGCGUUGUAUUAGCUAGUUGGUGAGGUAAAGGCUCACCAAGGCGAUGAUACAUAGCCGACCUGAGAGGGUGAUCGGCCACAUUGGGACUGAGACACGGCCCAAACUCCUACGGGAGGCAGCAGUAGGGAAUCUUCGGCAAUGGACGAAAGUCUGACCGAGCAACGCCGCGUGAGGGAAGAAGGUCUUCGGAUCGUAAAACUCUGUUGGUAGAGAAGAACGUUGGUGAGAGUGGAAAGCUCAUCAAGUGACGGUAACUACCCAGAAAGGGACGGCUAACUACGUG